rnacentral:rRNA from 1 species
GAUGAACGCUAGCGGCAGGCCUAACACAUGCAAGUCGAGGGGUAUCCCGCUUUCGGGCGGGAGAGACCGGCGCACGGGUGCGUAACGCGUAUGCAUCCUACCCUGUACUGGGGGAUAGCCCGGAGAAAUUCGGAUUAACACCCCAUAGUACUAAUGAAUGGCAUCAUUUAUUAGUUAAAGGUUACGGUACAGGAUGGGCAUGCGUCCUAUUAGCUAGAUGGUAAGGUAACGGCUUACCAUGGCUACGAUAGGUAGGGGGCCUGAGAGGGUGGUCCCCCACACUGGUACUGAGACACGGACCAGACUCCUACGGGAGGCAGCAGUGAGGAAUAUUGGUCAAUGGGCGCAAGCCUGAACCAGCCAUGCCGCGUGCAGGAAGACGGUCCUAUGGAUUGUAAACUGCUUUUAUUUGGGAAUAAACCUCUUUACGUGUAGAGAGCUGAAGGUACCAAAUGAAUAAGCACCGGCUAACUCCGUGCCAGCAGCCGCGGUAA